rnacentral:rRNA from 1 species
AGUCGAACGCCCUGCGCAAGCAGGGAGUGGCGGACGGGUGAGGAACACGUGGGUAUCUGCCCUGGGGUGAGGAAUACCGGCGAGAAAUCGCCGACAAUACCGCAUACGCUCAGCAAUGAGCAAAGUCGCAAGACGCCCGAGGAUGAGCCUGCGUCCGAUUAGCCAGUUGGUGGGGUAACGGCCUACCAAAGCGACGAUCGGUAGCUGGUCUGAGAGGACGAUCAGCCACACUGGGAUUGAGAACGGCCCAGACUCCUACGGGGGGCAGCAGUGAGGAAUUUUCGUCAAUGGGGGCAACCCUGAACGAGCAACGCCGCGUGCAGGAAGAAGGUCUUCGGAUCGUAAACUGCUUUUCUGUGGGAAGAGAACGGACGGUACCACAGGAAGAAGCCCCGGCUAACUACGUGCCAGCAGCCGCGGUAAUACGUAGGGGGCGAGCGUUGUCCGGAUUUAUUGGGCGUAAAGCGCACGCAGGCGGUUUCGUCAGUCUCGCAUGACAGUGCUUGGCUCAACUGAGCAAGGCGGCGAGAUACUGCGGAACUUGAGGACCAGAGAGGGACAUAGAAUUCCGGGUGGAGUGGUGAAAUGCGUAGAUAUCCGGAGGAAUACCAAAGGCGAAGGCAGUGUCCUGGCUGGUAACUGACGCUCAGGUGCGAAAGCUAGGGGAGCGAACAGGAUUAGAUACCCUGGUAGUCCUAGCCGUAAACGAUGACCACAAGGUGUGCGGAGUAUCGACCCUCUGCGUGCCGAAGCUUACGCAAUUAGUG